rnacentral:tRNA from 1 species
CGAGAUAUAGCUCAGUGGUAGAGCACUUACCAAGCAUGCAUGAGGCCCUGAGUUCAAUCCCUAGUGUCACAA